UACAGUGUCCGUACAAAAUAUGCCCGUUUAGAACGGGCUGAUUGCUAGGCCUGUGGUAUUGCUCCUUGUAGCAUUCUCCAGAACCAAAUUGUACCCCCUAAAUUACUUACAGAAGGACCCCAAACCACGUAAUAUGGAACUCCACUGUAUAGCCUACUACUGACUUACAGUGUACUUCUACAUCAGAGAAUGUCAUUGCAUUACUAUACGUACCUGACAGAAAACGUU